GAUGAACGCUGGCGGCGUGCCUAAUACAUGCAAGUCGAGCGAACAGAUAAGGAGCUUGCUCCUUUGACGUUAGCGGCGGACGGGUGAGUAACACGUGGGUAACCUACCUAUAAGACUGGGAUAACUUCGGGAAACCGGAGCUAAUACCGGAUAACAUUUGGAACCGCAUGGUUCUAAAGUGAAAGAUGGUUUUGCUAUCACUUAUAGAUGGACCCGCGCCGUAUUAGCUAGUUGGCAAGGUAACGGCUUACCAAGGCAACGAUACGUAGCCGACCUGAGAGGGUGAUCGGCCACACUGGAACUGAGACACGGUCCAGACUCCUACGGGAGGCAGCAGUAGGGAAUCUUCCGCAAUGGGCGAAAGCCUGACGGAGCAACGCCGCGUGAGUGAUGAAGGGUUUCGGCUCGUAAAACUCUGUUAUUAGGGAAGAACAAACGUGUAAGUAACUGUGCACGUCUUGACGGUACCUAAUCAGAAAGCCACGGCUAACUACGUG
rnacentral:rRNA from 1 species